UACGUAGGGUGCGAGCGUUGUCCGGAUUUACUGGGCGUAAAGAGCGCGCAGGCGGUCGAAUAAGUCGAAUGUGAAAGCCCCCGGCUCAACUGGGGAGGGUCAUUCGAUACUGCUCGACUUGAAGGCAGGAGAGGGUAGUGGAAUUCCCGGUGUAGUGGUGAAAUGCGUAGAUAUCGGGAGGAACACCAGUGGCGAAGGCGACUACCUGGCCUGUUCUUGACGCUGAGGCGCGAAAGCUGGGGGAGCAAACGGG
rnacentral:rRNA from 1 species